GUACACAACCACACUAGCCUCUUACGCCACCAUGCUGGGCCGUUACGGAAUAACGGACCUCUUAUGCAGCUCCAAAAGAAUAUCUGAUCCAUUUCCAGUUUUCAAUUUGAUUUGUAUCUAUCCCAUUCUCAAAACCAUUACAUGAUAUUCAUGAAUCAAUACCAUGUCUCAAAGAAUUAUAUCACAGGUUUAGUAAUGAUAAUCACUAAACAUUUUCAGAAUUUGAAUCUAAUCCGGGAUAGAUAUUCACAAGUUACUAUUCCCCUAAAACAAUUUAAAAGAUAUUAAAAUCCAUAGAAACAGGGGAAUACGUACUUAAAACAUUUAAUAUUUGACAUGCAGUCUUGCUCUGUGUUAUUCAUAUAUAAG
rnacentral:lncRNA from 1 species